rnacentral:rRNA from 1 species
UACGGAGGGUGCAAGCGUUAAUCGGAAUUACUGGGCGUAAAGCGCACGCAGGUGGCUAAGUCAGUCGAUUGUGAAAGCCCUGGGCUUAACCUGGGAAUUGCAGUCGAUACUACUUAGCUAGAGUAUGGGAGAGGGCAGUGGAAUUCCCGGUGUAGCGGUGAAAUGCGUAGAUAUCGGGAGGAACAUCAGUGGCGAAGGCGGCUGCCUGGCCCAAUACUGACACUCAGGUGCGACAGCGUGGGUAGCAAACAGG